rnacentral:tRNA from 1 species
ACCUACUAAACUCAGUGAUCAAAAUACUGCUUUCAUACAGAAGGAGUCAUUGGUUCAAAUCCAAUUGUAGGUU